GGGCACAUAGCUCAGUUGGUUAGAGCUCCGAGCUUAUAUCUCGGCGGUCUCAGGUUCAAAUCCUGAUGUGCCCA
rnacentral:tRNA from 3 species